rnacentral:rRNA from 1 species
UACGAAGGGGUCUAGCGUUGUUCGGAAUUACUGGGCGUAAAGCGCACGUAGGCGGACUACUAAGUCAGGGGUGAAAUCCCGGGGCUCAACCCCGGAACUGCCUUUGAUACUGAUAGUCUCGAGUCCGGAAGAGGUGAGUGGAAUUCCGAGUGUAGAGGUGAAAUUCGUAGAUAUUCGGAGGAACACCAGUGGCGAAGGCGGCUCACUGGUCCGGUACUGACGCUGAGGUGCGAAAGCGUGGGGAGCAAACAGG